UACGUAGGCAGCGAGCGUUGUUCGGAUUUACUGGGCGUAAAGGGUGUGUAGGCGGUUGUUUAAGCUUGGUGUGAAAUCUCCCGGCUCAACCGGGAGGGUGCGCCGAAUACUGAAUGACUAGAGUGUGGGAGAGGUGAGUGGAAUUCCUGGUGUAGCGGUGAAAUGCGUAGAUAUCGGAAGGAACGCCAGUGGUGAAGACGACUACCUGGACCAAUACUGACACUGAGGCGCGAAAGCGUGGGGAUCAAACAGG
rnacentral:rRNA from 1 species